ensembl:lncRNA
GUUGAAGAGGCAACUGAUCUGACUGAAUUCACAGAUGAAAUUAUCAGCUGUGGAUACACAGGAGCACUCAACAUAGAACAAAAAGAUGCCAUAAUUAGAGCAAUUUUUCUCUGUGCAAUAUCUGGAGUUACACCAAUGCUUGGAGACUUGCCCAAUGGCCUCCAGCUGUAUAGAUUGCUGGACAUACUUAAGGAGCAUCCAAGACUUUGCAAGAGUCUUUUUGUUCCUGGGGAGGACUGUACAGUAAAUGCAGACUAUAAUCUCAGCAAUGUUGCUCCUGAAAUAAGUGAGAGACGAACUUCAAGGGCUUUGGUAGAGAGCAAAAUCAUAAAUUACUUUCAGGACUUCCUUCAAAAAA